rnacentral:rRNA from 1 species
UACGUAGGUGGCAAGCGUUGUCCGGAUUUACUGGGCGUAAAGAGCGCGCAGGCGGUCGUUCAAGUCGCGUGUGAAAGCCCCCGGCUCAACUGGGGAGGGUCACGCGAUACUGAUCGACUGGAAGGCAGGAGAGGGUAGUGGAAUUCCCGGUGUAGUGGUGAAAUGCGUAGAUAUCAGGAGGAACACCAAUUGCGAAGGCAGCUCGCUGGGGCGUUACUGACGCUGAGACGCGAAAGCGUGGGGAGCAAACAGG